rnacentral:rRNA from 1 species
AUGGCCGUCGGCGGGGAGAUGAACAAGGCGCCGGCGCCAGCACCUGCAACGACGGGCGCCUCCAUGAUGGAGCAGCUCGUGCCUGAGAUCACCACCCACGCGCUCAGUUACCUCGACUGCACUAGCCUCUGCCGCCUCUCGAUGACCAAUUCAGCCAUGCGCCGCGCCGCCAACGACGAUGGGGCUUGGAAGGCGCUCUACCACAAGGAUUUUACAGCGGAGCAGGAUACUAUAACUCCACCUAACGGAUGGAAGGCAUACUAUGCAGCUACAAAGGCCAUCAUGAAUGUGAAUGCUGAGUUCUAUAAUAUCAUCAGGGAAGGAUCCUUGCCAGCAAUGAGUCACUUCUGGCUUAACUCAGACUAUGUAAAAUGCGUACAUGCUACUGGAGAGCUUUUUACAGGAUACAAUGCAGUGAUGAACAGCUGGGGCUUGUUAUUCAACUGGGGCCAAGAUGGAGGCCAGGGCACUGAUUUUCAGCUACGGGAUGUCAGAGCUCGUGUACUUGCUGAUGUAGCAUGGGUUAACAUGAAGGUUCAUGUCGAUGUUGACCCAGGGCCGUUCCAUGUGACCAAUGUAUACGAGUUCUGUAAUGGCAGGUGGCAUAUGGUUCAUCACCAUAGCUCACUCAUGGCUGACCCAGCGCCACAUAAUCUGUUUGGCUGA